CUAGCGACUUCAGAGUUUGAUCCUGGCUCAGGAUGAACGCUAGCUACAGGCUUAACACAUGCAAGUCGAGGGGCAGCACGGAGAUAGCUUGCUAUCUUGGGUGGCGACCGGCGCACGGGUGAGUAACGCGUAUCCAACCUGCCCAUUACUCGGGGAUAGCCUUGCGAAAGUAAGAUUAAUACCCGAUGUUGUUUAUUGCCCGCAUGGACGAUAAACCAAAGAUUUAUUGGUAAUGGAUGGGGAUGCGUGACAUUAGGUAGUUGGUGGGGUAGUGGCUUACCAAGGCUUUGACGGGUAGCCGGCCUGAGAGGGUGACCGGCCACAUUGGGACUGAGAUACGGCCCAG
rnacentral:rRNA from 1 species